GUGGCCAACAGAUCGCCAGAUCGUUGAGCUGCAUUGGCGGGAUUUCGCCGUCUUCGUUUCUCUUUCUUCGCGGACGAACACGCGCUGGGCCUGCAACGGCAGGAUCCAGGGUCCUUAACGGGAUGUGCGUUAGGGGCUUGUAGCUCAGUUGGUUAGAGCGCGCGCUUGAUAAGCGUGAGGUCGGAAGUUCAAGUCUUCCCAGGCCCACCACUUUCAUCGAGUGAGCAUUCGUCUUCUGGUUACGGGGCCAUAGCUCAGCUGGGAGAGCGCGUGCUUUGCAAGCAUGAGGUCGUCGGUUCGAUCCCGUCUGGCUCCACCAGAUGGUUUGAUCACCGAGAUCUUGACCGUCGUCCGCGAAACAUCACUUCGCAUCCUGCUAGUCUGGAUAGACAGCAGUUUGCGUGUUUUCUGACAUCGUAAAGAGGAGAUCGAUCCGAGUUGGGUCGUGCAGCAUAUCGUUGCGCGAGCCUUCAUUAUCUCCGGAUCAUUUCGGCGCUCGCUUCCAGCCGUGAGGUUGGAUGCGGGUUGUAAAUGAUCCUUUUAGCGAAGCUUGACCGCCUCGCUAUCGGAACGAUCUUACGAAGCAAGCUGGUCUUUCUAGUCAAUGUCCGGCUGCGGAUAGCGUUCAUCGAGGGCGCGUGCCGCAAGGCAAUUCUGCAGACAACAUUCUGCCGAGUGUGUGGACAUUGAUAAUGAGAGCAAUCAAGUGCCUUAAGGGUGUUCGGUGGAUGCCUUGGCGCUGAGAGGCGAUGAAGGACGUGCUACGCUGCGAUAAGCCGUGGGGGAGCUG
rnacentral:misc_RNA from 1 species